CGGGCACUUCGGUGUCAGUGGCGGACGGGUGAGUAACGCGUAGGUAUCUAUCCUUGGGUGGGGGACAACCGUGGGAAACUACGGCUAAUACCGCAUGACGACCGAGGUCCAAAGGCCGCGAGGCCGCCUGGGGAGGAGCCUGCGUACGAUUAGCUAGUUGGCGGGGUAAAGGCCCACCAAGGCUUCGAUCGUUAGCUGGUCUGAGAGGAUGGUCAGCCACAUUGGGACUGAGACACGGCCCAG
rnacentral:rRNA from 1 species